rnacentral:rRNA from 1 species
UUAUAAAUUGAGAGUUUGAUCCUGGCUCAGGACGAACGCUGGCGGCGUGCCUAAUACAUGCAAGUCGAACGAGAAUUUUUUACACCGAGUGCUUGCACU